UGGGGAAUAUUGCACAAUGGGGGAAACCCUGAUGCAGCGACGCCGCGUGAACGAAGAAGGUCUUCGUAUCGUAAAGUUCUGUCCUAUGGGAAGAUAAUGACAGUACCAUAGAAGAAAGCUCCGGCUAAAUACGUGCCAGCAGCCGCGGUAAUACGUAUGGAGCGAGCGUUGUCCGGAAUUAUUGGGCGUAAAGAGUGCGUAGGCGGCAAAUUAAGUCAGAUGUGAAAACUAAGGGCUCAACCCAUAGAUUGCAUCUGAAACUGAUAUGCUUGAGUCAAGGAGAGGAAAGUGGAAUUCCUAGUGUAGCGGUGAAAUGCGCAGAUAUUAGGAGGAAUACCGGUGGCGAAGGCGACUUUCUGGCCAUAUACUGACGCUGAGGUACGAAAGCGUGGGUAGCAAACAGG
rnacentral:rRNA from 1 species